GACGAACCAUCCAAACGUUAUUCGGAAUUACUGGGCUUAAAGGGUGCGUAGGCUGCGCAGAAAGUUGGGUGUGAAAUCCCUCGGCUUAACCGAGGAACUGCGCCCAAAACUACUGUGCUUGAGGGAGACAGAGGUGAGCGGAACUUAGGGUGGAGCGGUGAAAUGCGUUGAUAUCCUAAGGAACACCGGUGGCGAAAGCGGCUCACUGGACCUCUUCUGACGCUGAGGCACGAAAGCUAGGGUAGCGAACGGG
rnacentral:rRNA from 1 species